rnacentral:rRNA from 1 species
GACGAACGCUGGCGGCGUGCUUAACACAUGCAAGUCGAACGAAGAGCGAUGGAAGCUUGCUUCUAUCAAUCUUAGUGGCGAACGUGUGAGUAACGCGUAAUCGACCUGCCCUUCAGAGGGGGACAACAGUUGGAAACGACUGCUAAUACCGCAUACGAUCUGACCUCGGCAUCGAGGAUAGAUGAAAGGUGGCCUCUACAUGUAAGCUAUCACUGAAGGAGGGGAUUGCGUCUGAUUAGCUAGUUGGAGGGGUAACGGCCCACCAAGGCGAUGAUCAGUAGCCGGUCUGAGAGGAUGAACGGCCACAUUGGGACUGAGACACGGCCCAGACUCCUACGGGAGGCAGCAGUGGGGAAUCUUCCGCAAUGGACGAAAGUCUGACGGAGCAACGCCGCGUGAGUGAUGACGGCCUUCGGGUUGUAAAGCUCUGUUAAUCGGGACGAAAGGCCUUUUCGCGAAUAGUGAGAAGGAUUGACGGUACCGGAAUAGAAAGCCACGGCUAACUACGUG